GAACGCGAAGAACCUUACCAGGUCUUGACAUCCCUCUGACCACUCUAGAGAUAGAGUUUUCCUUCGGGACAGAGGUGACAGGUGGUGCAUGGUUGUCGUCAGCUCGUGUCGUGAGAUGUUGGGUUAAGUCCCGCAACGAGCGCAACCCCUAUUGUUAGUUGCCAUCAUUCAGUUGGGCACUCUAGCGAGACUGCCGGUAAUAAACCGGAGGAAGGUGGGGAUGACGUCAAAUCAUCAUGCCCCUUAUGACUUGGGCUACACACGUGCUACAAUGGCUGGUACAACGAGUCGCAAGUCGGUGACGGCAAGCUAAUCUCUUAAAGCCAGUCUCAGUUCGGAUUGUAGGCUGCAACUCGCCUACAUGAAGUCGGAAUCGCUAGUAAUCGCGGAUCAGCACGCCGCGGUGAAUACGUUCCCGGGUCUUGUACACACC
rnacentral:rRNA from 1 species